rnacentral:rRNA from 2 species
CGACGGGAGCUUGCUCCCUUAGGUCAGCGGCGGACGGGUGAGUAACACGUGGGUAACCUGCCUGUAAGACUGGGAUAACUCCGGGAAACCGGGGCUAAUACCGGAUGCUUGAUUGAACCGCAUGGUUCAAUCAUAAAAGGUGGCUUUUAGCUACCACUUACAGAUGGACCCGCGGCGCAUUAGCUAGUUGGUGAGGUAACGGCUCACCAAGGCGACGAUGCGUAGCCGACCUGAGAGGGUGAUCGGCCACACUGGGACUGAGACACGGCCCAGACUCCUACGGGAGGCAGCAGUAGGGAAUCUUCCGCAAUGGACGAAAGUCUGACGGAGCAACGCCGCGUGAGUGAUGAAGGUUUUCGGAUCGUAAAACUCUGUUGUUAGGGAAGAACAAGUACCGUUCGAAUAGGGCGGCACCUUGACGGUACCUAACCAGAAAGCCACGGCUAACUACGUGCCAGCAGCCGCGGUAAUACGUAGGUGGCAAGCGUUGUCCGGAAUUAUUGGGCGUAAAGCGCGCGCAGGCGGUUUCUUAAGUCUGAUGUGAAAGCCCCCGGCUCAACCGGGGAGGGUCAUUGGAAACUGGGGAACUUGAGUGCAGAAGAGGAGAGUGGAAUUCCACGUGUAGCGGUGAAAUGCGUAAAAAUGUGGAGGAACACCAGUGGCGAAGGCGACA